UAAGGAAUAUUGGACAAUGCCCGCAAGGGUGACCCAGCCAUGCCGCGUGCCGGAUGAAGGCCCUCAGGGUUGUAAACGGCUGUUAUUCGGGAAGAAGAGCACGGAUGCGUCUGUGUGUGACGGUACCGAAUGAAUAAGCACCGGCUAACUCCGUGCCAGCAGCCGCGGUAAUACGGAGGGUGCGAGCGUUGUCCGGAUUUAUUGGGUUUAAAGGGUGCGUAGGUGGCUUUUUAAGUCAGUGGUGAAAUACAGUCGCUCAACGGUUGAGGUGCCAUUGAUACUGAAAAGCUUGAAACAAGUGGAGGCUGCCGGAAUGGAUGGUGUAGCGGUGAGAUGCAUAGAUAUCAUCCAGAACACCGAUUGCGAAGGCAGGUGGCUACGUUUGAUUUGACACUGAGGCACGAAAGCAUGGGGAGCAAACA
rnacentral:rRNA from 1 species